GAUGAAGAACGCAGCGAAAUGCGAUACUUGGGGUGAAUUGCAGAAUCCCGUGAACCAUCGAGUCUUUGAACGCAAGUUGCGCCCGAAGCCAUUAGGCCGAGGGCACGCCUGCCUGGGCGUCACACGUCGUUGCCCCCCCAUCUACUCCUUCGGGAUUGCGGGGGGCGGAUGAUGGCCUCUCGUGCGCCUCGUCGCGCGGUUGGCCUAAAUGCCAAGUCCUCGGCGACGCACGCCACGACAAUCGGUGGUUGCGAAACCUCGGUUGCCUGUCGUGUGCGGUCGUCGCGCAUCGAGGGCUCGAAAAAAUUGCCGGGCUUCGGCUCGACUUUCAACGCGACCCCAGGUCAGGCGGGGUUACCCGCUGAAUUUAAGCAUAUCAAUAAGCGGAGGA
rnacentral:misc_RNA from 1 species